GUCGAACGGUAGAGGGGGCAACCCCUUGAGAGUGGCGAACGGGUGAGUAAUAUAUCGGAACGUGCCCAGUCGUGGGGGAUAACGUAGUGAAAAUUACGCUAAUACCGCAUACGAUCUACGGAUGAAAGCGGGGGAUCGCAAGACCUCGCGCGACUGGAGCGGCCGAUAUCAGAUUAGGUAGUUGGUAGGGUAAAGGCCUACCAAGCCAACGAUCUGUAGCUGGUCUGAGAGGACGACCAGCCACACUGGAACUGAGACACGGUCCAGACUCCUACGGGAGGCAGCAGUGGGGAAUUUUGGACAAUGGGCGAAAGCCUGAUCCAGCCAUUCCGCGUGCAGGAUGAAGGCCCUCGGGUUGUAAACUGCUUUUGUACAGAACGAAAAGGUCUCUAUUAAUACUAGGGGCUCAUGACGGUACUGUAAGAAUAAGCACCGGCUAACUACGUGCCAGCAGCCGCGGUAAUACGUAGGGUGCAAGCGUUAAUCGGAAUUACUGGGCGUAAAGCGUGCGCAGGCGGUUAUAUAAGUCAGAUGUGAAAUCCCCGGGCUCAACCUGGGAACUGCAUUUGAGACUGUAUAGCUAGAGUACGGUAGAGGGGGAUGGAAUUCCGCGUGUAGCAGUGAAAUGCGUAGAUAUGCGGAGGAACACCGAUGGCGAAGGCAAUCCCCUGGACCUGUACUGACGCUCAUGCACGAAAGCGUGGGGAGCAAACAGGAUUAGAUACCCUGGUAGUCCACGCCCUAAACGAUGUCAACUGGGUUGUUGGGUCUUAACUGACUCA
rnacentral:rRNA from 1 species